AUGUGGGAAGGGAGAAAAGACCACUAGUGUGUCUAGAGGAAAUGCACUGUUUAGCAUAAGAACGCGUUCAAACCCACCUUUUUCUCUAGAUUAUACUAGCAAAGCUCUGGCAGUUGGAGAACUCACCACCAUCCUCUGGGCCUCUGGAGAUCCUUCCUGCCUCACCUACCUACUUCCAGCUGUUCCUGAUGUCUGAGAGUUAAUUCCUUUUAAGGAUCAAGAUUUCCUCCCAGGCUGUGCACAUGCUGGAGCAUCACUGCAAAAGUUUUUAGGUUUUAUUCACUGUACCUGAGUAAGUAGUUCACAAACCCUUUCCAUACUGCCACAACAAAAAGCAACCUGAAGCCCUAUCAGUACAGCAUAGAAGUGCAUCUUCCUCAGACCACAGGGACAGGGAAAACCUCAGAGCCUUGCUCCAGAAUGAGUGGACUGUCUCAGAUCACAGAGUCAGUGAUCUUACUCAGCUUUGGUCCAUGCAGGCUCGCUGGCCUCCUUGCAAGGCAAAGCCACCCUUCUGGGGUGAAACUCAAGACUCCGUUUAUCUUUCUGCAGUUGGCUUCAAGACUUGCAGCUCUCUGGGCAUGAAAGGUAGUGAAAAGCAUUGGGCUUGAAGGCCUUGUGCUCUUCUCGAUGCUCACUGCAGGAAAAUAUCUGCACAUCUCUGGCAAGGAAAGUAACUGCCCAACAUCAGGCCAGGCGUGCCAUGGCCUUGCUUCUUGGAAAUCUGGGUUGUUGAAUUAAAUAUAACACGAAUCAAUACUGAGCCUCAGGGGAUUUUCACCCACUGGCUGCCAUGCUGAUGCAAGUCCUGCUGUCAGCUGGACUCCUCCCUGCUCUACUUACUGUGCUGUAAUUGUCAAUAGGAGCCAAUAACUGCCCACUGAUACAUAUGUUUCCAGCUUCCUCAGACUUUUGCAUGGAUUUCUCAUUUCUUGCAUAUGCCCCACAGCUGCUUCCCCCAAAUGAACAUCAAGCUCAAGCAAGCACCUGAAGCCUUGUGUCCUUACUCACACAGGAUCUCAGAUCAAGAUCCAAGGGUAAUGUGCCCAGAGAGCAGAUCUUCCCUCCUUGCCUGAAGCCAAGCUUGCCAGCACAGCAUGAGAUGGUGACAGCAUCUGAGGGUUCAGCAUGAUUCCUAUGGUGACUCCAAGACAACAAAUUGUGCAUCUGUGAAGAGGAGGGAAAAUAUGAGAGGAGCUGAAGAAAUGCAAGCGCUCUGUGCUUAUCCCUGCUACCACCCAGCUGUCCUUGCACAGUGUUCCCCAUACUCCAGUCAUUAUAAGGAAUGCAAAGAGACACACUCAGGUCCAACAAGGACUCUGGUCUGCAGAAAAGCUAUUACGUUCCUCCUGGAUCUGAGCUGAUCCUGGAAGAGGAACAUGCAGCAAGUAGCUGAGUAAGUGGCCCUGGCUGGACGUGCGCUGGCUCUGCACAGACCUGAUGCUGUUGUCUCUGCCAUCUCUGUCUGCUGCAUCGCUGCAGGAUUAAUCCACAGUGUGGAUUUAUUGUGCAGAAAUAAUUAAGUGUUGACUGUACAGUACAUCCUAUUUCAAGCACCUGCAGUAUUAGCUGUAGCGAUCAAUGAAUCAGUUAACUGCUAGCAAGCCAAAUGUCCCCACUGCGUAAGUGAUGUGUAUCACACUUUUAAGAAGCAACCUUCCACCUUCCCAAGAGCAGCCAUCCUUCCCUAGGUGAGCCUGCAGCUAUUGCUCUCACUCUCAAUGCACAAGUUGCUCAGCCUGGGACAGCUGAUGGGGCCAAUUAGCUCCAGGUUCGUGGUUUCAACUUUGCUCCUAUUAAGUUGUCUAAGAAUUUACAGUAACAAGUAUCAAAACCAGCCAGAAACAAAUCCUCACUUGUUGGUCCCUGUAUAAGCACAUAGGCAGACGUUCUUUCCCCAGAGGCUGCAAGGCUUAUGAAGAUGGGCUAGUUGAGACAGAAAUAAUGAUGCUUGGUCUGAGAGGAAUCAGCAGUUAAAUGUUUUACCUAAGAUCAUACCAAAAGGCUGUGGUAGAGCCAGAAACUGCACCAAGCCUCUCGAGCCCAUGUUGCACUCUGCCUCCCCACACCUGCUUGCAAAGCCUGGGGAUAGCUCUGGGGCCAUGCCACCUGCCUUUGUGCACUUGUACAAUGCCUUGAAACAUGCAGAAUAUGAUGCAGAUGAGGAUAUUUGGGCAGCUGCCAUGGAGCAAUGACUAUAGGAGCAGUGUCCCUCCCAAGGUGACACACACAGCUACCUUCAGCUGCUGAGAAAAGGCUGGCUGUAUGAAGUGGCAGUGGGGUGCUGCUUUCUGUGCAGCCUCUGGGGUGGCUCAGAGAGCCACUUCUCCACAAGGGGUGCACGGGUAAGGAAACAUGUAGAGAAUAGAAAGAUGCUUUUUGCUCUUGGAAUUCCUACUUUCUCCUUCCCUGCGAUUCCCACUCUUCCUUCCUGCCUCUUUCUCCUUUCCAAGCCC